rnacentral:rRNA from 1 species
GACGAACGCUGGCGGCGUGCUUAACACAUGCAAGUCGAGCGGUAAGGCCCUUUCGGGGUACGACGAGCGGCGAACGGGUAGGAGUAACACGUGGGUGACCUCGCCCUCCAGCUCUGGGAGUAAGCCUCGGGAAACCGGGGUACCUAAUAACCGGAUAUGACUCCAUGACGCAUGUUGUGGGGUGGAAAGCCUUGUGCGGCUGAGGAUGGGCCCGCGGCCUAUCAGCUUGUUGGUGGGGUGAUGGCCUACCAAGGCGACGACGGGUAGCCGGCCUGAGAGGGCGACCGGCCACACUGGGACUGAGACACGGCCCAGACUCCUACGGGAGGCAGCAGUGGGGAAUCUUGCGCAAUGGGCGCAAGCCUGACCCCAGCGACGUCGCGUUGGGGAAGAAGG